rnacentral:rRNA from 1 species
GAUGAACGCUGGCGGCGUGCCUAAUACAUGCAAGUCGAGCGAACAGAUAAGGAGCUUGCUCCUUUGACGUUAGCGGCGGACGGGUGAGUAACACGUGGGUAACCUACCUAUAAGACUGGGAUAACUUCGGGAAACCGGAGCUAAUACCGGAUAACAUUUGGAACCGCAUGGUUCUAAAGUGAAAGAUGGUUUUGCUAUCACUUAUAGAUGGACCCGCGCCGUAUUAGCUAGUUGGUAAGGUAACGGCUUACCAAGGCAACGAUACGUAGCCGACCUGAGAGGGUGAUCGGCCACACUGGAACUGAGACACGGUCCAGACUCCUACGGGAGGCAGCAGUAGGGAAUCUUCCGCAAUGGGCGAAAGCCUGACGGAGCAACGCCGCGUGAGUGAUGAAGGGUUUCGGCUCGUAAAACUCUGUGAUUAGGGAAGAACAAAUGUGUAAGUAACUGUGCACGUCUUGACGGUACCUAAUCAGAAAGCCACGGCUAACUACGUG